rnacentral:tRNA from 1 species
GCCUGGGUGGCUCAGUCAGUAGAGCACGCGACUCUUGAUCUUGCGGCUGUGGGUUCGAGCCCCACAUGGGGCA